UACGUAGGGUGCGAGCGUUAAUCGGAAUUACUGGGCGUAAAGCGUGCGCAGGCGGCUCUAUAAGACAGAUGUGAAAUCCCCGGGCUUAACCUGGGAACUGCGUUUGUGACUGUAGGGCUAGAGUGUGGCAGAGGGGGGUGGAAUUCCACGUGUAGCAGUGAAAUGCGUAGAGAUGUGGAGGAACACCGAUGGCGAAGGCAGCCCCCUGGGUUAACACUGACGCUCAUGCACGAAAGCGUGGGUAGCAAACAGG
rnacentral:rRNA from 1 species